UACGUAGGGGGCGAGCGUUGUCCGGAUUUAUUGGGCGUAAAGAGCUCGUAGGCGGCUUGGCAAGUCGGGUGUGAAACCUCCAGCUCAACCUGGAGACGCCACUCGAUACUGCUAUGCUAGAGUCCGGUAGGGGACCACGGAAUUCCUGGUGUAGCGGUGAAAAUGCGCAGAUAUCAGGAGGAACACCGGUGGCGAAGGCGGGACUCUGGGCCGAUACUGACGCUGAGGAGCGAAAGCGUGGGGAGCAAACAGG
rnacentral:rRNA from 1 species